rnacentral:rRNA from 1 species
GACGAACGCUGGCGGCGGGCUUAACACAUGCAAGUCGAACGGAAAGGCCCUGCUUUUGUGGGGUGCUCGAGUGGCGAAAGGGGGAGUAACACGUGAGUAACCUGCCCUUGACUUUGGGAUAACUUCAGGAAAAUGGGGCUAAUACCGGAUAGGAGGUCCUGCUGCAUGGGGGGGGGUGGAAAGUUUCGGCGGUUGGGGAUGGACUCGCGGCUUAUCAGCUUGUUGGUGGGGUAGUGGCUUACCAAGGCUUUGACGGGUAGCCGGCCUGAGAGGGUGACCGGCCACAUUGGGACUGAGAUACGGCCCAGACUCCUACGGGAGGCAGCAGUGGGGAAUAUUGCACAAUGGGCGGAAGCCUGAUGCAGCAACGCCGCGUGCGGGAUGACGGCCUUCGGGUUGUAAACCGCUUUCGCCUGUGACGAAGCGUGAGUGACGGUAAUGGGUAAAGAAGCACCGGCUAACUACGUG